CAGCCAGCAACAGAACUUGGACCCUUAACGGAGCUCCAGGCCUGGGCUCCAGCUGCCCACAAUAACAAGAGCCAGGGCACAAGACCUCAGCCCACACCAGUACCAGACAGAAGGAGCAUCACCUGAGGGUGAGGAAACUGAGGCUAGGGGAAGGUAAGGAACCAGCCCAAGGCUACAGAGCUGGGAAGUGACAGACAUCCAGGUGAGAAAAUGGAGGUUUGGCCAAACCGUGGGAGAUCCCCUCAGCUGAUCAGAGAGCCGAGCUGCAGCUAAACACCAUUUCAGACUACCGCCGCCUUCUUCCAAGUCCCUGGAAGGUUCAGCUUGACCAAGAGAACGGAGAUGAAGGGUGAAAGAUCUUCGGAAUCCUCACACAGAGAAGAUAAUAGCUUCUGCAAACAAAUAUAUAUACCCAGGAGUGAGAUUGCUGGAUUAUAUGAUAUGGAGACACUGAGGCCCAGAGAGGAACAGGGGUCUGCCCCCAUCACCGGUGAGGCAGCCGAGCUACGACGACCCUUCCCCAUUGCCCAGCUGUGUGUGCAUCAGAAGCUGAGAAGAAGGGGGCACCAGUAAGGCAAGGACUCCCAGGGUCAAGUCUAGACAUCAUUCCUGGGCCCUUGGAGAUGUGCCAGCAUAUGGGGGGAAGGGCAGUGUUGACCCCAGUGGGAAGUUGGCUCUGGAACUGGCAUGGUGGCCAGACUCUUGUCUGGGGCUAUCUGCUCCAACAGGCAUGGAAAUUCUUAUCAUUCCAAGGCCUCCUCUUCACACAGACCUGUCUGGGCUGGGUCUGUCCUGAGAUGGAGCUGGGGUUGUGGGAGGGGGCAGGAGGGAAAUGGCAGGGAUACCGCCCCCCAUUCACACACAACAUGGUCACACGCAUUCACCCAUCCACUGCACACACCACUCACCCCACCCACCUCCCUUUCCCCCAACCUGCCCUCCUUCCAGUGCUUAAGAGCUCUGGAGCCAGACUAUUCUGUGUGGAAAUCCAAGGUCAGCCUUCACUUACUGUCACUUAACGUGGCUUCAAUUGUUUAUUUGUAGAAUGGGGAUAAUAGUACUUACAUCGUAGGGUUAUUGAGAAGAUUAAAGGAAAUAUUAGGAAGCCACUUAGUACCAUGCCUGGCAUAGCUAUAGUUGUUACUGUUGUUUUAUCCAGCACUCCCCUAUAGCUCACUGGGGUUCCCCCUCUAUUGUACAUACACACCCCUCUCCAGAGGCCAACUCCCAGGCUGCCCUCAGCCAGCUGAGCCCACCCUCACAGCCCUACCGCCCGCCCUCUUACCCCUCUACUCCAGGCAGCCUGGGACCCUCAAGGCCUGGGUACCGGCCACGUGUGCCCAGCACUCCUUCUGCCCAAAAUGCCCUCCUCUCCACCUCUUCACAACUCUAACUACCCUCUCCUUUCCUUCAAGUCCCAGCUCCAGUCCCACUUCCUCUAGGACGCCUUCCCUGACUGACCUCUGAUCUUCCUCCUCUGAAUUGCUGAGGUGCUCUGAGUGAGUCAUUGCCACUUAGUACUGCCUUGGAAUUCCUGACUCUGUCAGUAAGAAAGCCUCUUCCUUCUUCCUCCCCACAAUCUCUUAAAAUUGAAAACAGCAUUCUACAGGCAGAUUUGAAGCACCCUAAAUCAACCUGCUGAUUCCUGUGUCACCCCACAUCCUAGCACCUGGAGUCACCCAUCACACAUCUUCCUAGAGCUGGGAACAGGGUGGGGCUCAGAGACCACGCAGUGCAGGCCAGUUACCCAGACAGACAAACAGAAUACUCUACAAACUGGGAGAGACUGGAAGGAUCCUCACUCUGUCACUGGGGUCCGUCCCAGGAACAGUUCUGCUGAGGAAUGGGGAAGCAGAGAGGGCCAUCUGGAGCAGAGGCUCCCUGAAACUCACCUGUAGGAACAGGUGUCGAGGUAGACCCUGCAGCCUGUAGAACAGUGGCCUGGGGGGAGAGGAGGGAGGGGCAGGACUCAGACUCCACACCUUUCAUGGGGAGAAGGAUGCAGACCUGUUCUGGGAGGCCCUGGAAGAUGCUCUGGGAACCAACCAUGAGGGUGGAAGAAGCUGCAGGAAGCAGAUCCCACCCGACACCCAGAAACUCUAACCAUUCCAAAAGCCCAGCAGCCAUGGCGGCAGUGAGUUCUCCACUGGGAAGGUGGGGGGAAGGGGUAGGCAGAGGCUGGUCAGUGCUGGUCAUGGUGGGCUAGAGCAUCCCUGCACUGGGUGGGAGGAGGAUCAGGAUUCUUCUCAGAUUCUUUUAGGCUCUGAGAGUUAGUGUCUAAGACUCAAAGUCAGCUAGCAAUAUAAAGAUCUGGAAAUCUGGUUCUAAAAUUCUAUUUAAAAUUCUGAAAUGAAAUACAUGAAAUUAAAAAUUUUCCAGUAGCCUUGUUUUAAAAGCAAAAAAAAAAAAAAAAGGUGAGAUUCAUUUUAGUAAUACAUUGUAUUUAA